GAACAAUUGGCAGCAGCUGGGGCUGGUUUGCUCUCUCAAGGGGUUUUCCACGAGUUCUGGAAGAGAUUCCAGGAGAGAAUCCAGGAGCUCCUGGUCUGCUUUUCAUUUCCUCAGGAAGAGACGAAACUGACUUCAUGAGACACCCCCGACGAAAACAGAGGAGACUAAAUCAGGUGUGCAGCAUAAGUUACCAUGGCGACAUAACCCAGACCCUUGUCCGUGUGACUGAGCCGUGAUCGACUGCAACAACAACGACGUCUUUCACGCUCACAUUCCUCCAAACUUCACAUGAACCGGUUGAGACUCAGUUUACAGGUUUAUACACGGAAACAGAGAAACCUGUCCAGGCUGAAGUGAUGAAACAUCUGAGUUUCAACUGAGAGAAUCAGCUGAUCACAUGACGAACGUCCUCCUGAUACCAACUACAGCAACACACCGCUGCAGGCCAGACAACAACACCGUAACACACAAUACACACCGGGAAGCACUCGCUAACACACAGUGUUAAGGCUGCUCUGAGGGAGAAAGUCAGACCUUUGAAAACGAGAUCAGUUCAGAUCAUCGGCGGGAACUGAACUUCAGAUCUAUUUGCAGAUUUGUAUCUGGACUGUAUCUGCUCAUGGACUUCAGUCAGCUGUUGUGGAGGUCAGAGAGGUCGAGCUCACCGCCAGGAUCCAGUUUCCUCUUUCCUUUGUCACACAGUCUAAUUAAAGCCUGAGAUUCUGUCUGGAUGUGGUUUCUUAUCCAAUCUGACUCAAUGAUCUCAGCCACACUUUAAAUCUUUCUGUCAAGACUUGAACAAUUUAAAACACUUUAGAUUGUCCAAAUGUCUGAAGGUGACCCAGACGUCAGGAGUAUCCAAGGUGACGUAUGAAGUCAAAAACCCAAAUGUAUUCAGUUUUGGUUCUUUUUAUAUGACAAAGAGAAGGAGCAAAUCCUCACAUUUAA